CCCUUAGAUGUUCUGGGCCGCACGCGCGCUACACUGAUGCAUUCAACGAGCCUAUCCUUGACCGACAGGUCCGGGUAAUCUUUGAAUCUGCAUCGUGACGGGGAUAGAUUAUUGCAAUUAUUAAUCUUCAACGAGGAAUUCCUAGUAAGCGUAAGUCAUAAGCUUGCGCUGAUUACGUCCCUGCCCUUUGUACACACCGCCCGUCGCUACGACCGACUGUUUCUGUCAAUGAAGCUGUAGGAUUCGGCCCUGGCCGGGGCGCAAGCCCUGGCUACGUGGUUGGAGAUCAUAGUUUAGUUGAUACGAAAUACAGGACGUAAAAGUCGUAACA
rnacentral:rRNA from 1 species